UACAGAGGUCCCGAGCGUUGUUCGGAUUCAUUGGGCGUAAAGGGUGCGUAGGCGGCGAGGUAAGUCUGAUGUGAAAUCCCGGGGCUCAACCCCGGAACUGCAUUGGAUACUGCCUUGCUUGAGUACUGGAGAGGGAACUGGAAUUUACGGUGUAGCAGUGAAAUGCGUAGAGAUCGUAAGGAAGGCCAGUGGCGAAGGCGAGUUCCUGGACAGUUACUGACGCUGAGGCACGAAGGCCAGGGGGGAGCAAACGGG
rnacentral:rRNA from 1 species